GCAUACAGUACACGUCAUUCCUUUAUCAAGAAAACCGAAAUGUAGACAUAAGCUAUUUCAAUAAUAACAUUCAAUAAAAACAGUCUGGUAUGUAGAUGCAUAUCUGUUGAGAUACAAGUCAGCUA